rnacentral:rRNA from 1 species
UACAGAGGUCUCAAGCGUUGUUCGGAUUCAUUGGGCGUAAAGGGUGUGUAGGUGGCGCGCUAAGUCGGGUGUGAAAUUUCGGAGCUUAACUCCGAAACUGCAUUCGAUACUGGCGUGCUUGAGGACUGGAGAGGAGACUGGAAUUCAUGGUGUAGCAGUGAAAUGCGUAGAGAUCAUGAGGAAGACCAGUGGCGAAGGCGGGUCUCUGGACAGUUCCUGACACUGAGACACGAAAGCCAGGGGAGCGAAACGGG